rnacentral:rRNA from 1 species
UACGGAGGGUGCAAACGUUGCUCGGAAUCAUUGGGCGUAAAGCGCACGUAGGCGGCCUGUUAAGUCGGGUGUGAAAUCCCUGGGCUCAACCCAGGAAGUGCAUUCGAAACUGGCAGGCUUGAAUAUGGAAGAGGGUCGCGGAAUUCCCGGUGUAGAGGUGGAAAAUUCGUAGAUAUCGGGAGGAACACCAGUGGCGAAGGCGGCGACCUGGGCCGAAAUAUUGACGCUGGAGGUGCG